UCGCACUAGUCGGGGAGAUAGCGGUGCCCUGUCACCUGCAAUCCGCUACAGCAGGGAUGAAUCCCCGUACCAGGGUCUGUGCUGUGCCGUCUGUCCGUGUAAGCGGUGUUGAGGGAUCGGUCUUGCGCAACGAGCUCCCGUGAACCAUGUCAGGCGGGGAACCGAGCAGCAUUAAGCGGAUCUGUUCGUGUGCCGUGAGUUAGCCGUUUCUGAGCUGGCUGCACGGGAAACGGGUAUGGUUGCAGAUUCAAAUACGGGUGUGCGA
rnacentral:SRP_RNA from 1 species